AAACAUCGCCUCUUGAUAAUCUAUAAGAGGUCCGGCCUGCCCAGUGACUUUGUUCAACGGCCGCGGUAUCCUAACCGUGCGAAGGUAGCGUAAUCACUUGUUCUUUAAAUGAGGACUAGUAUGAAUGGCACCACGAAGGUUAUACUGUCUCCUUUCUCUAAUCAGUGAAACUAAUCUCCCCGUGAAGAAGCGGGGAUAGAAAUAUAAGACGAGAAGACCCUAUGGAGCUUUAAACAAACAUACAACUGCCUUUAAUUUUAUCAACUUCAGACGAAAAACCAUUAUUUAGGCACUUUGAUAUGAAGUUUUAGGUUGGGGUGACCACGGAGUAAAAAACAACCUCCGUAGUGAACAGGACUUCUCCCGUAACCUAAGGGCUACAACCCUAAGAAUCAACAAAUUGACGCCAAUUGACCCAAUAUAUUUGAUCAAUGAACCAAGUUACCCUAGGGAUAACAGCGCAAUCCACUUCAAGAGCCCCUAUCGACAAGUGGGUUUACGACCUCGAUGUUGGAUCAGGGUAUCCUGGUGGUGCAGCCGCUACUAAUGGUUCGUUUGUUCAACGAUUAA
rnacentral:rRNA from 1 species